rnacentral:rRNA from 2 species
GGGAACGUGCCUUCUGGUCUGGAAUAACCCUGGGAAACUAGGGCUAAUACCGGAUACGCCCUUUUGGGGAAAGGUUUACUGCCGGAAGAUCGGCCCGCGUCUGAUUAGCUAGUUGGUGGGGUAACGGCCUACCAAGGCGACGAUCAGUAGCUGGUCUGAGAGGAUGAUCAGCCACACUGGGACUGAGACACGGCCCAGACUCCUACGGGAGGCAGCAGUGGGGAAUAUUGGACAAUGGGCGCAAGCCUGAUCCAGCCAUGCCGCGUGAGUGAUGAAGGCCUUAGGGUUGUAAAGCUCUUUUAUCCGGGACGAUAAUGACGGUACCGGAGGAAUAAGCCCCGGCUAACUUCGUGCCAGCAGCCGCGGUAAUACGAAGGGGGCUAGCGUUGCUCGGAAUCACUGGGCGUAAAGGGCGCGUAGGCGGCGUUUUAAGUCGGGGGUGAAAGCCUGUGGCUCAACCACAGAAUGGCCUUCGAUACUGGGACGCUUGAGUAUGGUAGAGGUUGGUGGAACUGCGAGU